AUACGGGAGGCAGCAGUCGAGAGGCUUCGGCAAUGGGGGCAACCCUGACCGAGCGACGCCGCGUGGGGGAUGAAGGCCCUUGGGUUGUAAACCCCUUUUGUUCGGGAAGAAAUGCGAUCAGGUGAACAAUCUGGUCGUUUGACGGUACCGGACGAAUAAGCUCCGGCUAACUCCGUGCCAGCAGCCGCGGUAACACGGGGGGAGCAAGCGUUGUUCGGAAUCACUGGGCGUAAAGGGCGUGUAGGCGGUCAGGUAAGUGAGACGUGAAAUGCCUCGGCUCACCCGAGGAGCGGCGUCUCAUACUGCUUGGCUUGAGUACGGGAGAGGAUGUGGGAAUUCCUGGUGUAGCGGUGAAAUGCGUAGAUAUCAGGAGGAACACCGGUGGCGAAGGCGCACAUCUGGCCCGAUACUGACGCUGAGGCGCGAAAGCUAGGGGAGCAAACGGGAUUAGAUACCCCAGUAGUCC
rnacentral:rRNA from 1 species